ensembl:lncRNA
UAGCUUCCCAUAAAAAGCAGGGCAACCACAAGCCUUGGACUUAGCCUGUGACCAUGAAAACGGAGCUGUCUGGAUACACUGGAGCUCAAGUUCUGCCAUAUUGCUAUUAAACACUAGCAUGAGACCAUUACAGGUGUAGCUACCAUGGUAGCCUUCUCAGACAUGGCCUGUAAAGUAGCUCUGAACCUAAGAGCGAUAGAACCCUGGACAAGUUCAUUAACCUCUGAGACUUCCUGCCUCAACUCUUAAAGGGUGGAGAGCUAUAACAACCACCUGUCAAGAUGAGGAGUCAGCCAGGACUGCAGGACAGAUGGGUCAACACAAGCAGACUGAGGCAAGCACGGUGCAUGAAGAAGCUUUUCCCAUUUUCCAUUUCUUCCUUUUAUAACUUUUAACCUCUUAACAUUUAAACUUUUCCC